rnacentral:tRNA from 1 species
UCAACAACCGGGAUCGUUGCCCUUGAAAACCGGCGAUGGGCGACCAUCCGUGGGUUCAAAUCCCACCUCCUCCGCCA